AUCCUGAACCUACAUUUAUUUUGGUUAUGUGUGGUUUUAUUGGUAAGAAUAACAUAGGGUUAUGUUAUAUAUGUGGUGUUAUUUCAUGUGACAACUAUGCAUGUGGUUUCAUGAUUUAUGAGCAAAGACUGUUACAUUGCGAUGCACGGACAAUGGUCACGCCUUCCUACCCUACAUGUCUACCUGAUGGGAUUUGCUAAAAGUCGAUGUCUUGUGGAGACACGACCGUGGGACUGACAUCUCGUGGACGAGAGUGGUCAGCAAGGCAUGUUAGGGCGGGUAGUGAAUCUGUCUACAAAUUGUUGGUGCUAAUCAUGCAGAUUGGAAGCUUGGAGAGGAUAAGCUUGACGAUAAGCUUGGAGCAUAGGCAUGGAGGACAGCAGUCGCGUGAGAUAGGAAUUAACCUGGUCAGCUCUUCCUGUGGGAAAUGGAGUCCCAUAGACGUGGGAGAUCCCUCAACCGCUUCCGGCAUCAACCACUAGAAACCCUUUUGAUGUACUCAUUACACCACCUUGGUCUUGUACCUCAACUUGUAUUUUUUCUUGGAAAUUUGUAUCAAGGAAAGGUGUGCCAGCUAA